CAUGCAAGUCGAACGAGGAUAUACCUUUCGGGGUAUAAACCGAGUGGCGCAAGGGUGAGUAAUGCAUAGAUUACCUGCCUCUAGGAUAAGGACAACUUUGUGAAAACGAAGCUAAUACUUAAUAAUACAAGAGAGAAUAAUUCUUUUUUGUCAAUGGGAGGGUAGCAAUACCUUUUGCCUAGAGAGGGGUUUAUGUCCUAUCAGCUUGUUGGUGGGGUAAUGGCCUACCAAGGCGAAGACGGGUAGCCGGUCUUAGAGGAUGGUCGGCCACACUGGGACUGAGACACUGCCCAGACUUCUACGGAAGGCUGCAGUCGAGAAUCUUUCGCAAUGCCCGAAAGGGUGACGAAGCGACGCCGCGUGAGUGAGGAAGGCCUUCGGGUUGUAAAGCUCUGUCAGGUGUUAAGAAAUAUAAGUGUGCUAAUACCACAUUUAUUUGACAAAGGCGCCAAAGGAAGCCACGGCUAACUCUGUGCCAGCAGCCGCGGUAAUACAGAGGUGGCAAGCGUUGUUCGGAAUUAUUGGGCGUAAAGAGCACGUAGGUGGGUUCGUAAGUCAGAUGUGAAAGCCUUCUGUUCAACGGAAGAAUUGCAUCUGAAACUGCGAGUCUUGAGUGCAGGAGGGGAGAAUGGAACUUCUGGUGGAGCGGUGAAAUGCGUAGAUAUCAGAAGGAAACGCCGGCGGCGAAAGCGAUUCUCUGGCCUAUUACUGACACUCAGUGUGCGAAAGCUAGGGGAGCAAACGGGAUUAGAUACCCCGGUAGUCCUAGCUGUAAACGAUGGGCACUAAGUAGAGGGAAUUACCGAUGUUCUCUCUGCCGUAGCUAACGCAUUAAGUGCCCCGCCUGGGGAGUACGGCCGCAAGGCUAAAACUCAAAAGAAUUGACGGGGGCUCGCACAAGCGGUGGAGCAUGUGGCUUAAUUCGAUGCAACGCGAAAAACCUUACCGGGGCUUGACAUGAUAGAAGUAGGAACCCGAAAGGGUAACGAACGGUAUCCAGUCCGUAGCUAUCACAGGUGUUGCAUGGCUGUCGUCAGCUCGUGUCGUGAGACGUUGGGUUAAGUCCCCUAACGAGCGAAACCCUUGUUUUUAGUUACCAGCGGGUUAUGCCGGGUACUCUAGAAAGACUGCCGUCGUCAAGACGGAGGAAGGUGGGGAUGACGUCAAGUCAUCAUGGCCCUUAUGCCCCGGGCUGCACACGUGCUACAAUGGUCGGUACAAACGGAAGCGAAGCCGAGAGGUGGAGCGAAUCCUAAAAAGCCGAUCUCAGUUCGGAUUGGAGGCUGAAAUUCGCCUCCAUGAAGUUGGAAUCGCUAGUAAUCGCGGAUCAGCAUUGCCGCGGUGAAUAUGUUCCCGAGCCUUGUACACACCGCCCGUCAAGCCACCCAAGCAGGAUGCACCCGAAAACAUUAUAUCUAACCAGGUUUACCUGGAGGAAAGUGUUGAAGGAGUGUUUUGUGAGGAGGACUAAGUCGUAACAAGGUAGUCGUAGGAGAACCUGCGGCUGGAUCACCUCCUUUCU
rnacentral:rRNA from 1 species